AAUGUCUUAUCUCAGCCACUGCCA
rnacentral:siRNA from 1 species